rnacentral:rRNA from 1 species
GACGAACGCUGGCGGCGUGCCUAACACAUGCAAGUCGAACGGAACUGUUUUGAAAGAUUUCUUCGGAAUGAAUUUGAUUUAGUUUAGUGGCGGACGGGUGAGUAACGCGUGAGUAACCUGCCUUCAAGAGGGGGAUAACAUUCUGAAAAGAAUGCUAAUACCGCAUGACAUAUCGGAAUCACAUGGUUUUGAUAUCAAAGAUUUUAUCGCUUGAAGAUGGACUCGCGUCCGAUUAGUUAGUUGGUGAGGUAACGGCUCACCAAGACCGCGAUCGGUAGCCGGACUGAGAGGUUGAACGGCCACAUUGGGACUGAGACACGGCCCAGACUCCUACGGGAGGCAGCAGUGGGGGAUAUUGCGCAAUGGGGGCAACCCUGACGCAGCAACGCCGCGUGAAGGAUGAAGGUUUUCGGAUUGUAAACUUCUUUUAUUAAGGACGAAACUUGACGGUACUUAAUGAAUAAGCUC